rnacentral:rRNA from 1 species
GAUGAACGCUAGCGGCAGGCCUAACACAUGCAAGUCGAACGAAGUCUUCGGACUUAGUGGCGGACGGGUGAGUAACACGUGGGAACGUACCUUUUGGUUCGGAACAACUCAGGGAAACUUGAGCUAAUACCGGAUGAGACCCUAGGGGGAAAGAUUUAUCGCCGAAAGAGCGGCCCGCGUUAGAUUAGCUAGUUGGUGAGGUAAAGGCCCACCAAGGCAACGAUCUAUAGCUGGUCUGAGAGGAUGAUCAGCCACACUGGGACUGAGACACGGCCCAGACUCCUACGGGAGGCAGCAGUGGGGAAUCUUGCGCAAUGGGCGAAAGCCUGACGCAGCCAUGCCGCGUGAAUGAUGAAGGUCUUAGGAUUGUAAAAUUCUUUUACCAGGGACGAUAAUGACGGUACCUGGAGAAAAAGCCCCGGCUAACUUCGUGCCAGCCGCCGCUGUAAGAC